UAUUAUACUGACAAAUACACAAUCCUUGAAUUAUUAAUAGAUAUAGUCUUUAAAUUUGAAGAAUUUGGCGGUGACUUAGUCUUGUUAGAGGAACCUGUUUUUGAAUCGAUAGACCACGUAUAAUUUUACUCGUUUUAUUAGUUUGUAUACCGUCAUUAUCAGAUAAUUUUAAAAGAAAUAAUUAUUAAAAUUUCUUAACAUGGAAAUUAAAUUAGAUCAAGGUGCAGCUUAUAAAUGAGUUAAAAUGGGUUACAAUAAGGUUUACUUAAACGGAAUAGUGAUAGGAAGGAACACUAUAAAGGUGGAUUUAAUUGUAAUUGGAAUUUAGCAAGUUUAAAAAAUAUAAGCUCUAAGUCAU
rnacentral:rRNA from 1 species